rnacentral:sRNA from 1 species
AUGGCGGGGUGAGCUGGGCUCUACUGCUGUGCGUGCAGACGGCGGGAGUGGUUGAGGGUCCGCCCCGUCGCCUUCCUCGGUCCUGGCCUCGGGGCUGGGUGCCGAGCGCUGGGCACCGUCGCCGCACUCAGCGAGCGCGACAGGGGCGAGGCCAGGAUUCCGGGUCGCAGUUCCCCGGGAGGAGGGCGCCCUCAGGUACUUGAAGCUGGUGUGUGCUUCCUUUCAGCGUCAAGGGUUCCACACUGUUGGGAGUCGCUGUAAGAAUCGGACAGGCGCUGAGCACCUGUGGCUGACCCGGCAUCUCAGGGACCCAUUUGUGAAGGCUGCGAAGGUGGAGAGUUACCGGUGUCGAAGUGCCUUCAAGCUCCUGGAGGUGAACGAGAGGCACCAGAUUCUGCGGCCCGGCCUCCGGGUGUUAGACUGUGGGGCAGCUCCUGGGGCCUGGAGUCAGGUGGCGGUGCAGAAGGUCAACGCUGCAGGCACAGAUCCCAGCUCUCCUGUUGGCUUCGUGCUUGGGGUAGAUCUUCUUCACAUAUUCCCCCUGGAAGGAGCAACUUUUCUGUGCCCUGCUGAUGUGACUGACCCGAGAACCUCACAGAGAAUCCUCGAGGUGCUUCCUGGUGGGAGAGCAGAUGUGAUUCUGAGCGACAUGGCGCCCAAUGCCACAGGGUUCCGGGACCUCGAUCAUGACAGGCUCAUCAGCCUGUGCCUGACCCUUCUCAGCGUGACCCCAGACAUCCUGCAACCUGGGGGGACAUUCCUUUGUAAAACCUGGGCUGGAAGUCAAAGCCGUCGGUUACAGAGGAGACUGACAGAGGAAUUCCAGAAUGUAAGGAUCAUCAAACCUGAAGCCAGCAGGAGAGAGUCAUCAGAAGUGUACUUCUUGGCCACACAGUACCACGGAAGGAAGGGCGCUGUGAGGCAGUGAGGAUUUCUUGUGCCAUUUUCAUAAUGGUCAUUAGCUCCUUUUAAGCUAGAAACGUAGCCUGAGCUCCUUCCUGAAGAGUUCCUGGGAGAUUUGAGCUGAUUUUGGAGAUGGAGCAGGACAAGUGGGGAGUCUCUCUCUCUCUUUCUCUCCUCUCUCUUUUUUUAACCAAAAAGAAAUGACAAAACUAAGUUCAGGGGCCAUGGAAAAUGAAAAAGUCCGCUAUAUUGUGAUUUGUGAAGAGAAAGUUAUCAAGAGAAAGAGGUGAGGAUGGAAGGAUGGAGAAAAACAGACUGUGGGAAGGAUCAGAAGGAAUCCGCCAAGGCAGGGAUGGGUGUGCCCAUGUGUGCCUUGACGAGACUUCAUCUUACAGACUGUUAAACUGUCACACAGAAACAGGCCUUCCACCCCUGCUCUGAGAGCACCACGCACAGGUUUCCAGUUCUUAGUGUGGCUGUUUAAAGUAGAAAAUCUGGGGGCUGGGUGAGGCCACUCAUGCUUGUAAUCCCAGGGCUUUAGAAGGCUGAGGCUGAGGGAUUGCUUGAAGUCAGGAGUUCAAGACCAACCUGGGCAACAUAGCAACACCUCCUCCCCAUGUCUACAAAAAUGAAAAACCAAAAAGCAAACCAAAAGAAAAAUCUGAAAUUUCCAUCUGGGGAUUAACUUCUGCCUUUCUGGUGAAUAAUAUAGCAAUUCGCGCAUUCUUCAAGCAGCAAAAGUUCCCGGAGCAAUUAGGGAAGACGUAUGGUCUGAAUUUAUCCAUGCAGUGGGUCUGCUUUGUUCUUUGCUGGAAAUUUAUAUCAGUGUCUGGGCUCCCAAGAACAUAAAGGUAAUUGCCAAAGCAAGCAGUGAUGUGGUGUGUUUAUUUUCUUUUACUCUUCUAGGAACUUGACGCAGCUUUAUAU